UACGUAGGGUGCAAGCGUUAAUCGGAAUUACUGGGCGUAAAGCGUGCGCAGGCGGUUAUGUAAGACAGGUGUGAAAUCCCCGGGCUUAACCUGGGAACUGCAUUUGUGACUGCAUAGCUAGAGUACGGUAGAGGGGGAUGGAAUUCCGCGUGUAGCAGUGAAAUGCGUAGAUAUGCGGAGGGACACCGAUGGCGAAGGCAAUCCCCUGGACCUGUACUGACGCUCAUGCACGAAAGCGUGGGGAGCAAACAGG
rnacentral:rRNA from 1 species